AGUGAACGCUGGCGGUAGGCCUAACACAUGCAAGUCGAACGGCAGCACAGUAAGAGCUUGCUCUUACGGGUGGCGAGUGGCGGACGGGUGAGGAAUACAUCGGAAUCUACUUUUUCGUGGGGGAUAACGUAGGGAAACUUACGCUAAUACCGCAUACGACCUACGGGUGAAAGCAGGGGAUCUUCGGACCUUGCGCGAUUGAAUGAGCCGAUGUCGGAUUAGCUAGUUGGCGGGGUAAAGGCCCACCAAGGCGACGAUCCGUAGCUGGUCUGAGAGGAUGAUCAGCCACACUGGAACUGAGACACGGUCCAGAAUCCUACGGGAGGCAGCAGUGGGGAAUAUUGGACAAUGGGCGCAAGCCUGAUCCAGCCAUACCGCGUGGGUGAAGAAGGCCUUCGGGUUGUAAAGCCCUUUUGUUGGGAAAGAAAAGCAGCAGGUUAAUACCCCGCUGUUCUGACGGUACCCAAAGAAUAAGCACCGGCUAACUUUGUG
rnacentral:rRNA from 1 species